GACGAACGCUGGCGGCGUGCCUAAUACAUGCAAGUCGAACGCAGUGGGGACGGGUGAGUAACACGUGGGUAACCUCCCAUCAGAGGGGAUAACACUUGGAAACAGGUGCUAAACCGAUACUGAUGGAUGGACCCGCUGUGCAUUAGCCAGUUGGUGAGGUAACGGCUAACCAAGGCCACGAUGCAUAGCCGGCCUGAGAGGGUGAUCGGCCACACUGGGACUGAGACACGGCCCAGACUCCUACGGGAGGCAGCAGUAGGGAAUCUUGGGCAAUGGACGAAAGCCUGACCGAGCAAUGCCGCGUGAGUGAAGAAGGUUUUCGGAUCGUAAAACUCUGUUGUUGGAGAAGCGGUAUCUAAACAGAAAGCAACGGCUAACUACGUGCCAGCAGCCGCGGUAAUUC
rnacentral:rRNA from 1 species